rnacentral:rRNA from 1 species
AUUGAGCGCUGGCGGCAGGCCUAACACAUGCAAGUCGAGCGGAUGAAGGGAGCUUGCUCCUGGAUUCAGCGGCGGACGGGUGAGUAAUGCCUAGGAAUCUGCCUGGUAGUGGGGGAUAACGUCCGGAAACGGGCGCUAAUACCGCAUACGUCCUGAGGGAGAAAGUGGGGGAUCUUCGGACCUCACGCUAUCAGAUGAGCCUAGGUCGGAUUAGCUAGUUGGUGGGGUAAAGGCCUACCAAGGCGACGAUCCGUAACUGGUCUGAGAGGAUGAUCAGUCACACUGGAACUGAGACACGGUCCAGACUCCUACGGGAGGCAGCAGUGGGGAAUAUUGGACAAUGGGCGAAAGCCUGAUCCAGCCAUGCCGCGUGUGUGAAGAAGGUCUUCGGAUUGUAAAGCACUUUAAGUUAGGAGGAAGGGCAGUAAGUUAAUACCUUGCUGUUUUGACGUUACCAACAGAAUAAGCACCGGCUAACUUCGUG